rnacentral:rRNA from 1 species
UACGUAGGGUGCGAGCGUUAAUCGGAAUUACUGGGCGUAAAGCGUGCGCAGGCUGUUCUGUAAGUCAGAUGUGAAAUCCCCGAGCUCAACUUGGGAACUGCGUUUGAAACUACAGGACUAGAAUAUGUCAGAGGGGGGUAGAAUUCCACGUGUAGCAGUGAAAUGCGUAGAGAUGUGGAGGAAUACCAAUGGCGAAGGCAGCCCCCUGGGAUAAUAUUGACGCUCAUGCACGAA